rnacentral:snRNA from 1 species
GUUCGCUUCACAGCACAGGUACUAAGACUGGAACAAUACUGAGAUUAGCACGGUGCCUGCACAAGGAUGACAUGCAAAUUGAUGAAGCAUUCCAUAUUUUU